AUAAUCAAUUGUUUAAUAAAUUUAAACUAGAAUGAAAGGAGUAAAGAAAGUUUACUAUUAACAUGUAAUCAACGGAAAUUAUAAUUAAGGUGAAAAUUCCUUACAGCAAUCUUAAAACGAGAAGACCCUAGAAACUAAUAAUUACAACCUUUUUUGGGAUAAAACCUUAAAAUAAAAGAAUUAACAUCCUUUAAAAUAAAAUAGUUACUCUAGGGAUAACAGCACAAUAAAAGCUAAGAGAACUAAUCUACCCUUUAGAUUGUGACCUCGAUGUUGAAUCAAGAAUUACUGGUUGUAGAAGACCAGCAAGUUUCGUCUGUUCGACGAUAUAUAAAUACGUGAUUUGAGUUUAAACCGUCGCAAGACAGGUUGGAUUCUCUUUAAGACUGCAAUAUUCAACCAUUAUA
rnacentral:rRNA from 1 species